rnacentral:lncRNA from 1 species
GGGUGUCGACCGUAGCAAGAACAGAGAGGGGAAAACCCUCAAGCUUAACAAAUUCAGCAAAUUGAAGAUGAUUUAAGGACAAAUUCGAAUGCAUGUCUUUAAUUUCUCAAUCAUCUAAGUAUCCAAAAACCCUAGAUAAUUGAAGUGUGCGUAUGCAAUGGAUAUUGUGAAAGCUAAACGUGAAAUGUUGCACCCUAUGGGCGAAGAAAGAAGAAGGUACAAGUCAAUCCAAGGCGCUAGGAACAUGAGAUCACGGUAAAGCCGUACUCUAAACGGCGCGCUACGCUCGGAACGAACUCCAUGAUGCCCUUUACGCGCUUCCGGUUUAUGUUUAGUGUCAAUGGGUCAAACUACUUUUGGAUUGUAAAUGUCGUUUUAAAUGUUUAUGUCUUUUGUAAGUAAGUUUAAAGUUUAUACUUUAAAUAUGUUAGAAUUGGUCAACUUUGGUUUUAAAGUUUGAUAAUUGUGUUGGUUGGUAUAUAUACAAGGGCAUU